UCUACCAAUAUCGACCCAUCCUGAACAUGCUCGAUCUCGUCUGAUCUUGGAAGCUAGUCUGGGUUGGGCCUGGUUAGUACUAGGAUGGGAGAACUGGUGAAGGCAGCUAAGCGGUAGAA
ensembl:rRNA 5S_rRNA 5S ribosomal RNA